rnacentral:tRNA from 1 species
GGGAGUAUAGCUCAGUGGUAGAGUGCUGCACUUAGUUUUAGCAUGCAGGAGGUCCUGGGUUCAAUCCCCAGUUCCUCUG